rnacentral:rRNA from 1 species
CCUACGGGUGGCAGCAGUGAGGAAUAUUGGUCAAUGGGCGGGAGCCUGAACCAGCCAAGUCGCGUGAAGGAAGAAGGUACUUAGUAUUGUAAACUUCUUUUGUCGGGGAACAAAGGCGGAGACGCGUCUCCGGAUGAGUGUACCCGAAGAAAAAGCAUCGGCUAACUCCGUGCCAGCAGCCGCGGUAAUACGGAGGAUGCGAGCGUUACCCGGAUUUAUUGGGUUUAAAGGGUGCGUAGGCGGAUUUUUAAGUCAGCGGUAAAAUGUCCGGGCUCAACCCGGGCCGGCCGUUGAAACUGGGGAUCUUGAGUGGGCGAGAAGUAUGCGGAAUGCGUGGUGUAGCGGUGAAAUGCAUAGAGAUCACGCAGAACUCCGAUUGCGAAGGCAGCAUACCGGCGCCCGACUGACGCUGAGGCACGAAAGCGUGGGGAUCGAACAGGAUUAGAUACCCUGGUAGUC